CCCACAGGCCGUAAACCCAAGGUUUCCAGGGGAAGGUUCGUCCGCCCUGGGUUAGUCGGGACCUAAGCUGAGGCCGAAAGGCGUAGGUGAUGGACAACAGGUUGAUAUUCCUGUACUACCGAUAACCAUUUGAGAGAAGGGAUGACACAGUAGGAUAAGCUAAGCACACUGUUGGUUAUGUGUGCCCAAGCAUUGAGGCAGUCAAAGUAGGCAAA
rnacentral:rRNA from 1 species